rnacentral:piRNA from 1 species
UGCCAAGAUGGGAAUCCUUGCCUGCUCA